rnacentral:rRNA from 1 species
CGGGGGGAGCAAGCGUUGUUCGGAUUUACUGGGCGUAAAGGGCGCGUAGGCGGCCACCGCAAGUCGACUGUGAAAUCUCCGGGCUUAACCCGGAAAGGUCAGCCGAUACUGCGGGGCUAGAGUGCAGAAGGGGCAACUGGAAUUCUCGGUGUAGCGGUGAAAUGCGUAGAUAUCGAGAGGAACACCUGCGGCGAAGGCGGGUUGCUGGGCUGACACUGACGCUGAGGCGCGAAAGCUAGGGGAGCGAACGGGAUUAGAUACCCCGGUAAGUCCUAGCCUUAAACGAUGAAUGCUUGGUGUCUGGGGUUUUAUAGUCCCCGGGUGCCGUCGCUAACGCUUUAAGCAUUCCGCCUGGGGAGUACGGUCGCAAGACUG